rnacentral:tRNA from 1 species
AAGGAGAUAGCUCAGUGGUAAAGCACUUGCUUAAAAUGCAUAAGGUCCUGGGUUCAAUUCCCAUCACCACA